rnacentral:rRNA from 1 species
GACGAACGCUGGCGGCGUGCUUAACACAUGCAAGUCGAACGGUGAAGGCGGAGCUUGCUCUGCCGGAUCAGUGGCGAACGGGUGAGUAACACGUGGGCAACCUGCCCCUCACUUCGGGAUAACUCCGGGAAACCGGGGCUAAUACCGGAUCCGACCUCCUUCGGCAUCUUUGGAGGUGGAAAGUUUUUCGGUGAGGGAUGGGCCCGCGGCCUAUCAGCUUGUUGGUGAGGUAGUGGCUCACCAAGGCGACGACGGGUAGCCGGCCUGAGAGGGCGACCGGCCACACUGGGACUGAGACACGGCCCAGACUCCUACGGGAGGCAGCAGUGGGGAAUAUUGCGCAAUGGGCGAAAGCCUGACGCAGCAACGCCGCGUGCGGGAUGAAGGCCUUCGGGUUGUAAACCGCUUUCAGCAGGGAAGAAGCCGCAAGGUGACGGUACCUGCAGAAGAAGCACCGGCUAACUACGUGCCAGCCGCCGCCGUAA